ensembl:lncRNA
GUUUUUAAUUUCGCGAGCUGCCAGCAGGCACCGUGCCGUUUGUCAGGAUAUUUUUCCCCUGUGCAAGCAGCGAGGGACCUGGUUAAUCAUCUAUCGCAGAUCCGUGUGCAUGAGAAAGAAAAGUGUUGAUGUUUGCUUGUUCGGGCUGAUGGGAAUGGCCCACGAAUUUAGGAUUAAAUUACUAACGGUAAUCGUAAAUCUUUGUUUCCUCUCUCCUUCUCUUUUCUACUGAAGUAAAGCGUGCAACACACUCCGGACAAAAUCUGCACGGUAGCUUUGCGGUAUAAAAUGAGCUACUGAACUGUCCGAGGUUCAAUGGGGUCUCUUCAGAUUUUAACCCGAGCCCGUUAAGCGGGGCCGGUCCCAAUAACUUUAGACACGUUUGCACAGUUGGACCUGUGGGAAGGAAGCGGAGCAGCACCGCGGAAGGCAGUAUUCAUCACUUCAGCAGGGCAGCUGAAGGAGAGCUGAAAAGCAGCAGUGAGUGCCCACUCCUGGCAAACCUUUACAGGUAGGGAUUUCAAGGGUUGAAGUACUGGCUUUCAGAGUGAGAGCUUGAUAUUGAGAGGUUCUUCUCUACACUUCCAGAAGGGAAGGAAGUUCACUUUGAUCCUAUUAGGAAGGAUGGGCACCAUCAGACCUUCCUAAGAACAAUACCCACCUCUCAAAGGACUCCAGACUUUCCUUUUUGGCCUGCAGUACCUGCGGAUUCUACACGUCCUUAGGCACCUCCUGAGGUACAACAGCAGCUCUGGUUAUAAGGCCAUAUUCAAGCACAUCUUGCAGUGCUGGAGUAUAUCCCUUGUUAGGUUGUCCAUUAUCUGCACUUCACAUUUCCUGAUCCACUUAAUGAUUUUUUCAAAGUGGGCUCCUACCUUAAAUUCCUCUCACUGGAAGUUUAUUUGAGCUUGACCCUGCGGUCCUAAGGGGAGAAGCACCCUGCAUUUAUUUAUGCUAGUUUUUACCAGACUGUUUUGAAUAUGGCGUGUUUUGAACUUGGUAAUAUAGGUAACUAUUGCUGUUAUAGCUUAACUGAUAAUAUAGAAACUUUUAAGAAAAAUAGCUUUCAAACAGCACCUGGGGAAAGUGUAGGUCAGCUGAGGGGAAUGGUCCUUGGGAAAACAGCUUAUCUACUUUUGAGUGAGAAAGUCUUGUCAGAAUCACACUGGUAGUAAUUGCAUCAAGACAGAGCGAUAUCCAUUCCCAGUCUGAUCCCUCGCCAACCCCACUGAAUCCAUCAUCUCUGGUUUCAGGUCUGACUGCUCUUCCCUUUCACUUCUGAAAGAAAUCUAGCAAGGGACAGGAUGAGGAAUCCAAAGUUCACUGGGACCAGAAGAAGAACCAGGGGGCUUUGAAGACGUUCCACCUCUGAGUCCCCUGCCAUAAGGCAGCUGCACGCUCUUUCCAUGCUUGAACAAGCACAUAGUUCCCAGCCUCUCAGAAGCACAGUAGUUUUAUGCAUUUGUCUUUACAUUUUUUUUUCUGCUUGGCAGCUGAAUGGGCAAUUUGCAGCUCCCCAUGAAGAGCAAGCCCAGUGGGCAAAUGGCAUUUAGUUUGUGAGCUUUGCAUGAAAGUUACAUUUCCUUUUUCCCCUCUGUAGUUCAAACCUCCGGCAAACUUCCCCCUGCAGCUCUGGAAAAUAUAAACAAUCCCUUUGCUGUUAGAAACCAGCAUGUUCAAGCUUUGAUUUGUGAUUUUCUAGGGAAGAAAAGUAUCAUCCUUCAGUGAGAAGAUCUGCAUGCCGGAGUCACAGAAGUAGGUCAGUCUCAAACAGCAUCUAAUUAGGCAGAUUUCUAUUGUUUAGCCAAGCAGAUGCAUCCAUCACCGAACAUUAGAUGGUGCACCAGCCAGUAACAACAGCUACCAACUCCUUAAGAUGCAGACAUAAGAAAUCUCCUUUGCUUACUGGCUGGGGCUUUGACCCAUGCAGUAACAAUCCUUCCAAGGUAUCAGUAAGAAAAUGAACCAAGUAGCUGUGCUUGUGUUACGUCAGUGGUUCCCCACCUUCGAGAUCACAACACUCAGCAACGGAAGGAAAGAAAUCAAAAUGUUUGAUUCUUUUCCCAGGCAGGUUUUCAUUCUCUCUCACCCACUUUAAGGUCAGCUUGACUUUUUCUCAAGGAAUUUUUAAAAAUAAUCAGGCAUAAAGUACAUUUGAUGGAACAGGGGGGUCUCUUCCAAUGGUGCUCUUUGAGCGCCUGAUUUGUCAGACCCUGUACACCCUGUGGCUGAAGGUGUCAGCCACAGUAACUCCAGCAGCAAAGGAAGGCAGUUAUCUGCCUCUACACAGACUUUUCCUCAGGCUGUGCUGCAGCCAAAUCUGUCUAGUGCCCUUCUUUUGCUGGGAAACAGACAAGAGCACAUCAACUCACUGCAAACACCAACAUCUAGUAGCACGUCUACCUGAGUUCAUGGAUAAACGAGUCAUUUCCAUGGUCCCACUGGUAAAAAUAACAGUUUCUAUUUCAAUCUGUUAUGAUUUCCCAUCAUUUUGAAUGAUUGGCUUCAGUUUCCAAGUCUCAUGAGUCUUUCUGAAGCUUGGAUAUUUUAUACUCAGAAAUCCAUGCAGUUAAAGUAAGGAUGAUCCCCUGUGAGCUAUCUAUUUGUUAUUAAUCUGAUCAGGGUUUUGCAGGAUGCACCAGCUUGGCUAAACAACAAGACACCACAGUGUGCCAUGGGAAAGGUGCUCUCAACAGAGUGGAGAGUUUAAGCCGUAGAAAACUACAGUUUUCUAACACACAACAGACCCUUUUCAAAUCAAAUACUUUUUUUUUUUUCCAACUCAAAUGCUUUGUAAUAUUAUUUUUUUUGCUGAAAAGACUGAUUCUUCUGUUCUCAUAAAAACUAAAAGGCAAAGCUUUGCUUUUCUAAUCAGCUCUCCUUUAAGGGUUCAAUGGGACUGACUGAGCAGAGUGCCCGCAGUCACUGUCCUUAUCAAAAACUAUCAGCAUCAGCCCAAUAACCUGUUUGAGAAUUACCUGAACUCAGUGUAUAAAGGGAUAUACAGGCAUAUAUAUAUACAGAAAACAGAGUGCCAUGCAUUACUAAGUUUUUACAAGGUUAUGAAGAUGUUUUUAUUGAGAAAUGUUUGCAAGUUUCAGAUGGCUGGCAGAUGUGUUAAAGAACAUAUGAUUCAAAUAGAAAACCUUUCUUUUUAUUGCCGAAACACUAAUAAGAGUGCACUUUAAUAUGCCUUAAUGUGUUACUCCUUAAUUGACAGCAGAUGUUUCCUGAACAGCGUUUUUAAAAGACGUGCCGCACUUCAAAACAAGAAGAAAUAAAGCCUUACUGUACAUACAAGAGCUUCCAAAAACAACGCCUCCCCUUGCCAAUAAUUGUUUAUAAAAACAGCGUUCCAGAUUAUUUGAAAAUCAAUAUUAAGUCCCAUGGAACAUGUCAGAGUAAAUCUGAUGUUAUUUCAACAGAACCUUAACACAGUCAGUGUUCAAGGGCUCCUUUUGCUUUCCCUCCAGCCUCCAAAAUGGGAAACAUCACAUAGCCCUUGGUGCUUGAUCAGAAGGGAACGGGAUAAAAAAGGUCAUCUAAAAGAGAAACCAAGUGCCCAUGUACUUGGACAGACAGAGACAGCUCCCAGCAGAACCAGCUACACCUCUGAAAUCUUAUCUGAGGUGCAGCAGUAUGAUUUUUAGUGCUUACAUGGACGAUAUUGCAAGCGUUAGAGCCUCCUCAUCCCCCUUCUGCUGGAAUGAGCUCAGUGAAAUGAGAGUGGUCCUUCCAUGUGCUGAUUUGAUUUGGAAUUUAAUUCCUGUAAUGGCAUCAAAUAAAAAAUAUUCAGCAGCAGGAGUUACACAUGCAAAUUAAGAAGAAAAACAUGGAAUUUUAUUAUCUACAGUAAAGGAGAGAGAUAAAUAUAAUCAAACUAUUGAUGGGUAAAGAUCAGAGGAAGAUUAUCUUUUGUAAGCACAGAAGACCUGCUGAUGUCCAGGGAAAAUCAGAGGUAGAGAACGCAGCCCUCUGCUCCCCACACUCACCCAGGAGCAGCCCCACAACUCCCCAUCUCUGCACACCAUGAUGUGUGCAGGGGCCCAAUGAGCCCGUUUGAUGUGUUUGUAAUUGUAACACACUGAGCUCCCCAAAGCAUGCUGUGAGCUGCGACUUGUAGUAACAAAUGACAGAAUCCUUAAAUACAGCCAAGCUGUGGUCAGUGUUUAUUUAUUUUUAUUAUGUAAACAGCCCAUGCUUUGGGUUAUUAGAGUUUAGCAUUAAAAGCACUUGAUCAUUUAAACUGACUUGAUGUUAUCAGACCUUUUUUUAAUCCUUGUUAAAAUACUAAGUAAUUGACAGUGCUUUUUGUUAUCCGGGUUAUAAAAUACAAAUCAUUAGGGCAAUAAAUAUUAUUCAUUUAGAACUGAUGCAAACCAAAUGUUUUCUUCCUUAAAAUACUCAUAAAAGUGAAGUUUUAUCUUCCAUCUGGCAAUGCCUCUUAUGCCAAAAUGUUCUGAGUGGAAUUGCAUUAAUAAGAAGACAUCAAGAGAAAUAUGUUACUUGUAUCCUUUAAUAUGCCUUUGUAAACUGAGAUACACGUUGGCCUUCUAUCAAUAAGCAUCUCUACCUGUGGGUUUUGAGAAGGAUUAAUAGAGAAGAACCAUUACAGGAUGAAAGGAUCGAGCAUGCUGGGAGAAAAAUGAAAAUCAAACAUCCACCAAUGCAAACACUUCCUUCCAGGAUAAUAUUUAGGUUUUAUUUUAUUUUCUUAAUUUAAAUAUAUAUAUAUAUAUAUAAAUAAAACGUUUAAGCUCAUUUUAGAUAGCGCACAUCUGCACUGCAAUAAGGCAGUUUUCAAAAGUGCAGCUCUCAGUGGGAUAUUUAUUUAAUUCGUAUUGGUUUUGGACCUCAGCCUAUAAUGAGAAAAGAUAUGGGCACAUGCUAGAGGUGGUGGCUGCGACUUGGACUUUUUUGAACAUUAAAGCAGAAAAAGCCUUUGCUUGUAGGGAGGGUUUAGUGAAAAUUCAAUAACUUUUGCUUCAGACCCUGUGCUUCAGAGCACCAAUAAAGACAAGAGAGAACCGACACAGACACUGAAUUCACAACAGAGCUCCUGGAAAAUGCCAACCAAUUCUGGCAGGAAUUUUCCAACAUUUCUCUCCUCAGAUACUUUUCACUUUUCUGAUCAACUCUGAUUUCAAAACCAAUUUCAACCCAGCUCACGUUAUUCACAUGCAACGUGUUCAGGCACAGUCUCUGCAGAUGCGUCCGGCUCCCCACCUCCAUUUCUCCAUUUCAUUGGUAAAUGACCUCCCCGAACUGAACUAAAAGUAGCCCAUUGCAUGCACAUUGCAGGUUUUGCACCAAAUUCGUCCAUUUUGAGAGAGUUCUAGCACAGAGAAGAAAGCAGAAGGCUUUUCCCAUCUGGCUGGGGGGCCAGUGGGCAAUGCUGGGGGCAGCGGAGGGUUGCUGCAUCAGUCCUGCGCUCAUGUGGGUCAAAACCAGAAGUGAAAUGGGGAAGCGUUCCCUGGCCACAGACUGUACAUCUUCUGGCACUGUUGUGAAUUUUGCUCCAUCCCAGGGCCAUUUUGCUCCAUCUUAUGGCCCAAUUCAAUGACUACAAUUGAUUUUUUGGUACUUCAGUGGCUUUGCAUGGAAACCAGAGGAAUCAUUUUUUAUUGAAUACAACCUUUAGAGCACUAGCUCACCAGUUUUCUUCAAUACACUCUAAUAAAGUAAUACCAACAUUUCCCAGCUCUCCAUAACUUCAUUAUUCUGUGCCUCUUUGGGACACUAGAAUCUCUUACCCUGACUCUUUCAUGGAUGGUGGAUUUCACAUCCAAUGCUAAUUUGAGGGCUUCAAAUGUGUGCGUGUGUACAAGCACACACGUGCACUUUUUUACAUAUGCUCAGCAUCAUCUGUCAGACCCUGUAGAUAAAAUAGCACCUCCAUGUGCCUGUCAGAAAAAUGCGUUUGACUUUCAGGCAUUGUUUUCAUUAAAUCAGGAUCAGGACCUGGCCACAGACUCCAAAGUGUGAAUGGAAACAAUUUCCCUGUGCAGGAAUCUCAGCUGACGUGCAGCUGCUAAGAGCUGCGUUCCUCUCGGUUAUGUCUUCCCUGAAACCAUAAAUAGUCCCCAAAGCCAAUGCAAAGCUCACAAUGCAGCGCUGCGUGGUGCUGUGUCCUCCUUCCCAGGCUAACUUUGCAUGUCUCACCUGUGUGAUUUUUCUCCCAUGUGGGGCAGAGCCUGGCCCUUAUAUACUUGUGCAGUCUUGACUAUGGUUUUACUUUGGGUUGUUGGCCUUGUACGUGCUCCUGCACUCCAAGCAUUCAGCAAUCAUGAAGAGCAAUGGUGAGAGCACACCCUACGUGUCACUCCAUGGUAUCCUUCAGCGUACUUUUCUCUCUUUAGGGAUUUUGCUUUUCCAACGUGCUCACCCCUUACUUCCCCUCCUGGCGCUAUUGAAAUAAACGGGAAUUUUUUGAAAAUCAAAGCUGGGUUAAUGACUAAGGGUUUUUUAAAGAUGGAGCAGUUGAAGCAGUGAUUAUUGGGGCAGGAGGAAAUCUCCUGCAGGUAUUAGUCUUACAGGACGGCAUGCCAAAGGUUACUAUGGUGCUUGCGAUGUGGAACGAUGAUGAAAUACUAUGGGAAAAGCAAGUCCCCCAGCUACAAUGUAUGCAUUUGGUGGUCAUGGCUAUGCACCAGUUGUGAUCAAUGGGUGUAAAGGCAGGGUCAGGGCUGCAGCAGCCGGAGAUGCUGGUGCUUUGCAAUCUAGCUGGGCCCCAACCAAGGGGCUGAGUUUCCACAAUUCAUUUAUCAUAAACCAGCAAUUUGCAAAUGUUAGCACUUUUCCCACACAUCAUGAGCCCUGAUGGACUUUAAUAAAAGCGAGAGAGAGAAAGAAAGGGAAAGAGAGAGAGAAUACCUACAUAAUUAGCUAAAGUUCUCAGAAUGGCUUUAAUUGGGAAAAUGUUACCUUUCUGGAAAUAAUUGCUAUAGAGAUUUUCAUUUGUUUUCUAGGUUCUGGUUUUUUUACGUUGGUUUCACAUCUGCUAAUUAACCAGUUGUCUCUGUUAGAGAGUUUUUGCACCUCUCUUUUACCCUCAAGACAGCACAUUUUCCAGUUUGCUUGAUUCUGGUAGUCACAAAAAUUAGAAUACUUGCAUUAAUUUGGUUUUCACACUGUUUUUAAGCUAAAAGCCUCUAAAGGGGAGGGAUAACAAAGAAAAAUAAAGGGUAAACAAAUCUUGAGAACAGAUGAGAGUGAGAGUUUAGGAAAAACAAAACAAAACAAAACAAAAAAACUAUCUGGCAGAGAUGCUUGUGGGGUACAUGGGCAGACAUCACUCAUUUCAUUGAGACACCUCUGAGCUCUGAGAAGUCCUGCUGUGGGGCUGGCCUUCCUCCAGUCCACAGAAAGGUAACCGUGGCUGAAAAAAUGAAGUCUAUGGAUGGAGGGAGGAACAAGAGUUGACACUUUUAGCUAAUACCAGUGAUAACAUCACUUUAACAUGAUUUUCUAGGGAUCUUUUUUCUCUAGAUGAGUAUCUUUCUUCCCAGAGUGGGCAAUAACAGAGACUUCAAUGACAGGGAUAAAAUAUUCAGAGCUGAAUAUCUGUGAUUAUCAGAUUUUCUCUCAGUGUUGUAGGAAGGAGUUGUUCCUGUCACAGAGAGCAGAAAUCAGAGGGUUUAGAUCUCUUUGAGUUGUUUAUUCCAUCUCAUGCAGUUUUGCUACCUUGUCUACCUGUCUGCAUUCCUACACUGUUGUUUAAUGCUAAUUAACAGAUCAGCAUGAACAUGUUCUGCAAUUCUCAGAGAUCCCUCCUCUGGUGCUUUUCUCUCUUCUUAGCCAAUCUCACAAUACUUUAGCAACUUUCCAUUCCACAUAUAACAUGUGUUCCAAAGAACACAUCCAUUGCUGAUAAGAGCAGCUAUCAUUUUCUAACUCAUAGAUGCAACGGCAGCAUCAUCUAUCAGAAACAAGAAGAGGGACUGGGGGUAAAAAAUGCCCUUAAAACAUCAGAUGCACCUAUUCAUCUAAUAAAUUUCUUCUUCUAAAAACCCCAAAGAACCACAUUGGCCUGGUGAUGAUAUCAUAGCCAAUCUCUGCCUUUACGGUUUAUGACAUCAUCAAAACCCCUUGAUGAUCUUAUAUGCUUGUGCAUCGAUGCUACCUAUCACUUUCUCCUUACAUUAUGCAUCAAACUGCUCAGAAGAGCCCACGUUUAACCAUCUAACCAUUUCACAGGUGACAGGUGGCAGAAAGCUGCAAGAAAAUGAACUGUGAGAUGUAUAAUUUUCCACUGUAUAUUGAGAUAAAAUGGAGCCUGAAAGAGAACCUGUCUUUAGACUAAUGACAAAGCAUCCAACACAGGGCAUCCAACUGUCCAGAUUUCCUCCAUCGUGUCCACUGAUUUCUGCUCUGAAUCACCCUCUGGAAGAGUCCCCAUCAGCACACAAUUGCACCCCUGGAGACUUCACUGCCAGGUUAUGUAGCAGUCCCACAAAAUGGCAUCACCUUGCAGCAGACCUGCAGUAGUUAAGCACAAAAUGAAGCAGUGGAGCACUCUUGAUGGCUACAGCACACACCACAGCCCCUGCCAGAAAAUGAUGUGGUGUGAAGCCGACAACUGUCACCUUUUUAACCCACAGUUUGGUUCUAGUGUUCUAUACUCAGAAAAUGUCUGUUCAAGGCCCAGAAUAUUGAGUGGCUUGCUGAUGCAUUCCUUCCCACAUAUACAAACCUGGGCUUUGUUUGUUUUAUUGCUUGCUCUCAUUUCCAAGCCUGCAGCAUACGUGUUUCCCUGCAGUGGGAAGGGCUUAGAGGAAGUCCAUCCUGCAAAAAACACACUCCGUAAGUUGUUGCUUGAUUCUAGGAUCCACAGUUAGAAAACAAACCAAAACAUGGAGGCAGCAGAUGAAACCUCAACUACUGGUAAUGCUGACGCUUCCUAUGGAAUUCUCCAAGCUGCAAGUGUCUCGUAGCCAAAUCCCUCUGACAAAUCGGUGCCUGUGUGGGUAAUAUCAGCACUGUGCUCAAGCAUCUUCCCUACCUUCUUUCCAGCUCAGGCAAUGGCCUGAGGUGGUGCUGGCUGUGAAAUGAGCCCCCAUCACAUAGUAGCUGAGCAAUGCAUAUCUCCUAGCGCAUUUUGUUCCCUUUAACGCAUUUCUUCUUUUUCUUUUCAUGACCUGCUGCCAAAAUCUCUUUGCUAAGGUUUCUGCCACCAUCGGCACCACACAAGAAAAGUGUCUUUGUUAACACAUUUAGGACCUGCUUUUAAUUUCUACAGUAUUCCCUUUAAUAACAAUGUCUAAUUAAAACAUCUGUUAAAAAGUCUGUAACAUUAACUUUACAGGGAGAAUUUAAUAGAAUUAUAUUUGAAUUGCAGCCAUUUAACGGUUUUCCUAAUUAGGCUGUUGAGUUUUUAUUUUUUUAACAAAAACAUUACACAAAUUAAAAUCAGGCCCAGUUUUUUUUUUAUUAUUAUUAUUACAACAUAGACUGUGGUCAAAAAAAGGCCGGCAGUAUGUGAUGGUGUGUAAAGGGUGGAAAAAAAAACACACUAGCAGCCUGUGACUGAAACGCUAAAAUGCACAAAAUUAAACAAAUAAGAGAAGAUAUUUGAAAGGGGGAGGAGAAGAAGAGAGAAAAGAAAUUUCUCUGGCCUGUUAUUUGCAUGCUUUCCUUGAACACAAAUCCUUCCAAGUAUCUCCCCAUUGCUCUGUCUCCAGCCCCUGCCACCAUUCACUUCUCCUGGCUCUCACCUGUUUGGACCUUGUCUGAAUCUGGGAGCAAAAGACAUUGUAAAGAAGCCUCAGCAACCUGGGGAAAAAAAUAAAAAAUAAAAAAGGAUUUAUGCUAGAUUUGUGUUUGUCCACAUCCCAGAAGCUUGAGUCAAGACCUUUCCUGUCUGCAUUUCACAAUAUUGAGUGUGUUGGAAGACACUUUUGAGGCUCGCUUCUCCGGAGAGCUUUCCCAAGGUAUUCCCUGCUCUCAGGGCUGCAGACAGGUAACACAUAGCUCCAUGAUGCUUUAAGUUUCUUCCUUCACCAUGGGAAAAAACUAUCACUUGCCUAGCACAGUGGGAGCCAGACCCUCACAGAGCUAUGCAUGAUUGUGCCAGUCCAUAAAGAUGCCAGGUAUGCAGAGAUGUUGCAUUAACAUUAACUAUGCCAUUUCCUUGGAGAAAAGAAAUCUUUCUUUCCUCUGCAAAUGGUGCUUUUUGUGCUCUAAGAUGUUGUGUCUGUUUGCCUAUAAGAGCUCUAGCAGUUAUAUUUGGCAUAUGUACAGAAAUACAUAACCUUCAAUAGAUUCUAUGAUUCUAUGAUCUUCACUAGAAGCUGCACUGUUAAACUUUUGAAGGCAAAGAUUUGCAGACAUUUUUAAAUAGGAGGAACUCUGGUUCAAGAUUUUAGUUGGAGAGGAGCUAGAACUUUAAAUUUGUGGGAAAACCUCUGCUGUUCCUUUUUUUCACUGUUCUAAGCCAAAACAAAAAGGAAAAAAUUAUACAUAUCCCAGGAAGAGCAUUUACAGUAAUUACUUUUAUAUCACACAUUAUAGCUCAUAAUUUACUCACACUUGUAUGAGGUAUUUCUCAACUGAGACUAUGCAUUUUACAGAGAAGUCUGGUGAUUUUUCACUGAUCCAGUGUCAUUUUUGUGCUGAGAAGGAGCUGCAAGAUAACACUACAGUUUCGCUCUUCAGCAUAAAUAUUUCAUGUAGCUCUCAGCAGAUGCUAAAGUUAGUGCCUGUACAAACAACUCAGAUGAAAUCCUGGCCUCCAAGUUGUCAGUGACAAAACUCUUAUUGACUUCAGUAAAGCCAAGACUUCAUCUUUGGUCUUUAAAUUGAACUUAAAUUUGUAGCGACCACUGGCAAGGGGAAACCCACUUCAAAGGAACGCUCUGACAGUUGGACAUUUCUCUCCCACUGAUCUAAACUGUAGUAAUCUCGUUUUGUUUCCCAAGCUAGCUUGGAAAUCACGUUGAGAGAAGUUCAUCAAAAUAGUUCUUUUGUUCUACUGUUUUCUAGCAAAUCCAAUGAAGCAACUUCCCUCAAGGAAUUUUCUGUACCACAAAGGCCAACCUCAAUAACAAAGAGCAAGUCUAGUAGGAAAAAAAUAACAACAAAACAUUCAUGCAUAGAGAUUAAGAAAUACAUUAGCAUCCUUCAGAGUCCCAGGGCAUUGGUGAGUCUUUGAUCUCUUCUUAGCUCUGCCAUACUGCGUUGCAUUUGUGGCUUUUGGACUCACAACACAAAUCAUAGUCUCUUUAGGGCUCAUGGCCUGUGGAGACCACGUGGAAGGCAAAUAUCUGGACAAUCCUGGACCAAACAUCUAUUUUUCUGUAGCUAUGAGGGGCUUAUCUUCAUUACCAAAUAAUCUAUUUCAGGCCUGUGUUUCUUCCUUCCACCAUUCUGCACACUGUUUCUUGAUAAGAGAAAACACUGAACUGAAUCCAAUUGCAAAUUCCAAAGCCAGAGUUCAAGCGAUGGACUCUGUUUUCUACAAUAACAUUAAAAAUCCAACCUGCUCCUACUGUGACUUAUGAAGUUCCUUGAAGGGAAUCCUCCAAAACUGCCUUUCUGCACAAGGAGGAUCAAAAGGUGCUAGAUGAUUCCGCCUGGUCAAUGUUUGUGGUCGCCAGAACUCUACAAAUGCCCUGUCCAAAAAUGAGCUCGAAGGAGCUCUGCAGGGGAGCUGUACACAGGUAGAAGCAUGUACACCGGAGAAGCAUGGUCAACAUGCUUUCUGUGUACUUAAAACCUCAAGGAAUAAAGUUGUUUAGGAACAAAUCCUUGAGAAUCUGCUCGGUUAUUGGUGAGGAGAGGACAUUUUGGUAGUUUCAAAUGGCAUUACACAUUUGUGGAAUAGAAAUUACAGUUCAAUGUGUGGGCAUACUUGAUUGGACAAUCUCUCAGUUGAUGGGUUCUUCUGUUCAAUUACUAUUAAAAUUCAUCAAAUGGAACAGAGUGGUUUUAAUGCCUGUAAUUGUUGUAGAAAAUGCUCUGUAAUUGGUCUUACAAAUGAAGCUGAAGAGCAAGAUCAAACUCCAUUGAAAAUGAAUCUGUCUUUCCACUGAAGAGUUCAAGAGUCACUUUUAAAAUCCAUUUUGCAGGAAGGUGUUUAGCCAGUCUCAACUCCUGUUCAUUUUGUGUGGCAGUUUUUAUUUGCUUCUUUUGGCCUCUGAUACGUAAAUGAAAUCACCAGCUCCUGAACUUGGCUCCAUGUUCUCCCCUGCCUUGUAAAUUCAAAGGAAGGGCAGUGUUACAGGCAAUGAACAGCAGACCAACUCCAAAGGCAACUCAGGUGCAUUUGGGAAGUCUGGCACUGGGAUGAAGUGAAGAGACUGCAGGUUAGAGCCGUGCUGCCUCUGGUGGAGGAGCCAGAUCCUGAAGUUUUGCCCCUUUGGCAAAUCUUGCAAACCUCUGCCUCUUGCUUUUUAUGGGUGGAGGGGAGUUAUAUUUAGCCUUGUCAGAUGAAAUGAGAGGCAAUCUAAGAGCAGGGAACAAGCAGACAGUGAGAAUUUAAGAUACUUUUGCCACAAAAAGCACUGUCACCUGGAACUCUACUGUUAGCGAAGAAAGUGGGAAAGCAAGCAGGAUACUUAGUCAAUUUUCAGAGCAUCAGUCUAAUUGCAUGUUCCACAGAGUUCAGUGAACACUUGAAUCAAAAGUAUCCUACAUUUUCACUUAAACAUUUUCCUGCACAUCAAAUGCCUCCCUCAAAUACGGAAAACAUGGAUGCAACUCUGCUAGACUGCCAUUCAGUUCCUUGGUAUCCCCAACCACUGGACCCACCAUCUCAGGAACCAGUAUUUACUUCUCCAUUUCUUUCUCUCACCUCUUAAAGACUCCAUACAACAACUUCUGUUCAGCAACUUUCUAUAACUGCCUUCUCUCUGCCCCUAGCUCUCACCCCAGCUUAAAACUUCCUGCUUGUCACCAUCCAUUCUGGAAAACACAGCUUAUUGUUCAUACCGCUUCUGUCAGGUCUUUUCUGCUUUGUCUACAUUGAAAGAAUUAAAAAGGGAGCUCAGAGGGGAUAAUUCUCUUUGUACAGUGAGUCGAGAGCUUUCCAUGGCACCUCCUCUCAUGAAAUGAAGUGAUGGCUGCGGAAGAAGAGGAAAACAGAUCUUAAACUGAAAACAGCUAUGUUACCACCCCCAAGCAGUUUAAAAUCCCUCUCCAUGUUCCUGAUUUGUUACCAGAGCAUGCUAUUCAUGCACAUGCAGGCUGUCAUCAUUAGUCUGCACAUGUGAAAGAAGUUCUGUGCAGCAGUUCCUGAGGAAAAAAAGAGAAACUGUGCAAAAGCACCACAAUUAAGUAUAAACCCAGGCAUGCCUACAAGCAGGUAGCUGCAGGAAAGUGACUGGUUCUAAUUAAACUCCAAACAUAAAUAGAAAGACCAGAAUUUCAAAUAGCACCUAACAAAAUUAAGAAAAGGUCACAGACAUGGUAGUAUUUUUUAAAACCUACCAGCUCUGUUUAUGAAAACAGAUUACUUGUGAUUGUGAUUACUUGGUACACAUUCAGCACUAACUGGCUCACAGUUUUGUUGUGUAUUUAUGUACAUUGUAAAGUGUCUGUGAAGCAUCAGGAAAGGCCCUAAGUCUGCCCACAGAGCCACAGGUGGCCAAGUCUGUUCCACCACAAACUUCUGCAGGGGAUGAGCAACGUGAGAGGCAGCAGAGGGUGCUGGGUUUGUUAGGCCCAGAGCAGGGGAGGCUGAGGGGAGGCCUCAUGGCGGCCUGCAGCUCUAUCAUGGAGGCCUGCAGCUCCACCAUGGUGACC